UUCAUAACCUGACGCGUCCACCCUACUGC
rnacentral:piRNA from 1 species